GAAAUGGCAGGCGCGGUGGAUGUUGGCGAUGCUAGAAUUCGAGCUGCAAGGAUUUUAGAAGCUUUUGAACAUAAUGUAACUGUGCAUUCAAGAGAAUCAGAGGAGUUAAAGCAUGCUUCCUUGAAGGAGCAUUUGCAAAGCUUGGUAAAUGACAACCAAAUUUUGAAGAGAGCGGUAGCCAUUCAACACGAGCGGAAUCUUGAGCAAGAAGAGAAGACAAGAGAAGUCCA
rnacentral:misc_RNA from 1 species